AACCAACUUAUUUACAUUAAUAAAUUGAAUAAUCUCCAGUUACCAGACGUCAGUCAGAACAUUUGUUUUGAUUAUAUUUUACCAAUUGGGAUAACUGAGUCACUUUUUUAUUACUCAAUAAAUUAGGCCUCGUGUUCACUAAGCAAUUGUAUAGUUAUGUCCAGUGCUAAUGGAAAUGAAUGAAUAAUUUCAGCAACUUUCAUGAAAACCACCUUGAACAAUUCAGCAGUAAAUAACACCCAAGAUGUUCUCUUUGCAACGACUGCAAGAAUGCACAACCCAGGAAACCAUGCUCAGAGCUCUGAAGACCUAUCAGUUCAGAUGUAAUCAGUGAUAUAUGUAUGUGUAAUGAAUGUAUACUGUGGCUGACAAUUUAAAUACAUUGGGUGUUUCUUGCUGCAGUUAUGUACCAUUUAUCAAAAAUGAACAUGUACUGUGCUAAGAUAAUGUGAUGACUCAUAUUUAAUUUUGUGUAGAAUUUAUAUAUUUUUUUAUUAUAAUAUAAGAACUAAACAGCUGUAUGGAUUGUUUAACAACACCCAGUUUUCUGAUUUGUGUGUCUAAGAAUUUUUUUUUUUUUUUUUGAAAAUGGUUAGUAGUCUUAAAGAUAAAACAGCAAAGGAGGAACAGUGAUUGGAAAAUUUGGUAAUGCCUUGAGGUGUUUAAUGUGCCUGAGUUGUAUACCUAAAUAUGUACCAAACAUAUAGUUGUACUAAAAAAAAAAAUUGCAGUAAUGUGGGGGCAAGUAUUGAGGUAAAAUAAUGUGUGUUGUUCUGAAAUGGAAUAAUUGAAUUUCAUAUACUGGAUUUGAAGAUAGAAAGUUUGUGAUUGACUGUGAUGUAUGUUUUCAGUCAACUGCCUAUAAUCAGUUUUAAUAUUAAGAUGGUGCAUUAAUUUGUUAUUGGCAAUUAAAAUUUAAGUACAUUUCCAGCCCUUUGUUUGCUAUUUUUGGUACUUAAGUGCUCGGUGUAUAGAUCAACGAAUUCAUAAACUAAAACACUGAUUUAUAAAGUAGAGCUAACUGUUCACCACACAGAGGUGAAAAGAGGUAAUAUGAAAAUACUAGAAAACAAAGUUACCCUUGCAAACCAAUUUGUGUGACAAAAGAAAAAAAUAAAA